rnacentral:lncRNA from 1 species
UCCCCAACUAAUUUAUCAAAGAUUAUAUUCCUGAAGAUCUUAAUUGAUUUUCCAAAAAAAAGGGAUGAGAAUGUUCUGUGAUCAAUAACGUUUGGAAAUGACGAAUUGAAGAAAAUUGAAGAGAUUUCUUCGCUGCGGAUCUUUGUAGGGGUCUUGGCACCCUAAUGUGCAUUCGAACUGCAAAGAGGGGGCCACAGUCAGAAUUUCCGUAUUUGACCCUGAAAUCCACCCCCUCCGCCAUGGGCCCAAAUUUCACCAUCUUCUUGGGAUAUAGUGUUCCACGGGACCCAGUUUGGGAGACCCCAAUCCAGUCCAAACUUCUCAUUCAUAGAGGAAAGAUCUGAGCCUCAGAGCAAGGAAAGACUGCUGCUCCAGGUUCCGUGUUGACUGGAGGCCAGUUCUGGAAUCCUGGCCCUGAAUCUGGGGCUCUCUCAAUUAAACAGACCAUCCUGUCUGAGGCCCGGCGGGUUGAAAGGUGGACAUAGUUAAUAUCUCGGUUAUAUGUGAAAUAAAUGAGAAUAUUCUGAUGACUUUGCAAAAUAGGGCAGUCCAGAGAAGAAUGGAGGGAGAUACCAAGCUGAGGAAAGGUGGGGGAUCUGCGAGGCUGGAUGGUGGGGCUCGGGCAGAGGGUUCACAUCCUCUCUGUGUCCUCCCCCCCACGCUUCAGAACCUUCUGUGACGGCGCCACGGCUCUGCGAUGCGAUGCGAUGCGGGCCCGGAACUCAGCUCCUAGGCGCCGCGUCUCAGCGGCCAGCUGCACCCGCUUGAUGGGCGAAUCUCUCUCUUCUCCUGAAUGGGGUGAGUGGCCCCUGGCGGAGCUCAAGCCUGGCUUCUUGGAGGAUCAGGUCUGUCUUCUGCUUCCUGUGGGGCCAGGCUCUUCCUUCUGGUUUCUCCAUUUCCUAAAGAGGAAUCCAUUUCUAUUAAUGUGGAAGAAAACUGGAAACACAGAUCAGCUCCACCCGGUCACACGGCCACCCUGCUGGACUCCCAGUUCCCAGCACGUCAGGCCCUCGCCCUGUCGCAGCCCCUGUCCCUGGAAUUCCCGUCCCCCAGCUCCUUGAAAGCCCGGCUGCUUUUCAUCUUCAGAUGGAAAUGCCUCCUCCGCGCAGCUCUGGCUCCCGACCCUCCCCGCCAGGCCCGUCCCCACAAUCUCUGAUAAUUUGGUUGAUUCGAUGACUUCUCGUCCACAUGCUCGCUGGACGGCCAGCCCCGCCCACUGCUGGACCGCGGCGGCCUGAGCGCGCGGGUGGAGCAACGUGCCGCCUAAGGAACAGUCAAUUAAGACUUGCUGACUUCAUGAUAACCGACGUCUGAUCCCAGGGCAGCAACCUGACCCCUGUGGGAUCCCAUUUUUUCCAUCAUAAAAAUGAGGAUUUGGGAGCAAAAGGCUGAAGCAUCUUCUCCCCCCGUUUCCCAUGAACUUGUGACUGGACUCAAGGAACCGGGGAGCGAAGGCCUGGAGCGGCUUCUCGGACGCGGCCUCUUGCUGCCCUCUAGCGGCCAAGACGGUGAAUGUCCCCUCAUCGUUUCCCCUGGUCUCGUCCCAGCUCCACCGAGAACCGGGAGAAAGCGGCUGUCUUUAGCAGAAUAAAACUUCGGAAAGGAAAAGAACUGUCUGCGUGCUCCGCCAGGGUCUCCUUGGACAUAUUCAGCGGCCGAAGAAAAUGGUCCACGUCUUCUUCAUUAGGGUGCCCCCGGCGCUGGGCCCUGGAGCGUGGGAGCAGGUGCGAUGCGGCGGGAGGGGCUCUGAACCUGGGCACCGGGCAGCCCUCUCGGAACCUCUGUUUCCUCCUCUGUGACGUGAGUAUAACAAUAUCUGCCUCACACUUGUGGGAUUAAAUGACCCAAAGUGCCUGGCAUGGGGUAGGUCCUCAGCGAAGGUGAGCGCCCUCUUGGCCCUCGACGUAUUUGGUGUGAGUGAAAUGCAAUCACAUACAUAAGGCAACGAGCCACAGCCCAGGAGAAAGCAGCAUAAAUGGCGUGUGAAGGUGUAGGAAGCCGUGCUGUAUCCUGGGAAAAUCCUGGACUGUGAUCAAGAGCUUUGGGAUCCAGAUUUAUUAGCCCUGACUCACAGAGGAUGUGUGUCGUCUUCUGGACCUCAGCUUUGUCAUCUGUGAAAGGGAAGGUUGGAUGGCAGAAUCAUCUAGAAGGCACUUGGCUUCCAGUAACUGAAAACCCAUUGGCAGUGACUUCACCCAGGGGCCAGCAAAGUACAGCCCACGGGCCAAACUCAGCUUGCCACCUGCUUUUGUGCAGCCAGUGAGCUAAAAAUAAUUUUUACAGUCUGAACAGUUGAAACAAAUCAAAAGAAAUAAUAUUUUGUGAUGUGAAAAUUAUACAAAAUUCACAUUUCGGUGUCUAUAAAUCAAUUUCUAUCGGAACCCUGCCACACACCAUCAUUUGCGUGUCUGUUGCUGCUUUCACACUAUAAUGGCAGGGUCGAGCGGUUGACUUGGAAAGCUGGAAACAUUUACUAUCUGGCCAUGGACAGAAAAAGUUUGCCAACGCCUGACUUAACCAAUAAAGAUAUUUCAUUAUCUCGCAGGACUCACAGCUCAAGAUGACAGGGUUCUGGGUCUGGGUCCCUGCAGUUCUCUUGGUCUUUCCUCCUGGUCACAAGAUGGCGGCCUCAGUUCCGUGAGUCACAAUCUACAUUCAAGACAGGAAGUAAGGAGCAGGGAGAAAGGCUUUCUCCUGCCAUGGCUCCUUUAUCCGGGAAGAAGAUAUUUGCCAGAGGCCCUACAGGAGGCUCCCCCAUCCCAUUGGCCAGAACUAGGUCACAUGACAAACUCUGGACCAAUCACUCAGAAGGGAUAAAACUGCCUUAGCCCAAGGAGGCUGCUAAGGACCCACCUCUCCUGAGAGGAGGGGAUCUGGGCAUCGCUAGUUUCCAGCUGCACGACCCAUUUUAGAACUUACAUUUGAAUACUCUCUGUUGACUUGAAUCCACACUCUGGGCUCAGGAUGUAUUUGUGAGUGAUUUUCUUCAUUUAAGAUUUUUCAAUCUUCCCUUCUUUGCAUUUUGCUUGGUUGAAGACAUUGCUAUUAAUGUUGUUUCUUGACACCAAUCCUUAAUUUAGGCCCCACCUCCACCCCCAUGUAUGAGAAGGUUGAGUUGUAGACCGGAGAUGGGAACAUUUCCCAGGGCGCGGUCACAGGCGAGCCUGCUUGUGGCUGAGUCAAAACAGAUGGCGAGUUCCCCAGGAUGGUUAGCCUGAAGCCAGCGCGGCCUCUGCAAGAAGGGCCAACCUCCUGAAGUGUGUCUGUGGAAAGGCAUCCUGCAAGAUGCUACAGCUCUCUAGAGCUGGUGGAUGAGGAAGCGUGGCUUCAAGCGUCAAAUGGGAACAUUUCACAGGUGAAUCGAGAAGCCAUUUCCUGAGGACUUCAAGCUGAAACCAAAGGCUCCUUGUUGUUACAAAGAUCGGGAAUUGCACAUACAGACGCAAAGGAAGACAUCGCAGAAAUGGGAAGAAAGCUGAAAGAACUCACGCAGCAAAUAAAAAACGGGGUCAGAGGCCCCAAGAGAGGAGCUAAGUCCUAAGGCGCCCCCUCCAUCCAGAAGGCAGACAGGGGCUUAGAGAGAAAACGCAGAAGAGAGACGGCAGGCCCCAGUGCUCCUGGGAAGGAGGACUGUCCUUGAACUAUGACCUCGUCUUGGAUUUGGGGUGGGUUUCUUGACGGAGCAUGCCGUCCGAACGUCCGUACCUGAGGUCUUUCAUGUGCUAAGGGAAAAGAGGGACGGGGUCCAAGUUCCGCCAACAGGAGGCACGGGGCUCAUCCCUGACCAUCAAGAACCAAAGAGAAUCAAAAGAUGCAAGUCCUCUGCACCUUGAUUUCUUCCUUUGGAAAACGGAAAUUUUAGCGUCUGCGUGGCCGACUCAGCACCUAUUCCAUCCCCUUCCAGGCUGCCUUCCGGUACCAUCAAAGCUGGGAACCCGAUUUGUCAGACUGCUUUGCCGCCAGGGUACAGGCACGUGACCUGGUUUGCCUGAUCAGUGGCACUGCCUCAGGACUCAGAUGUGGAAGCGAGCAAAGCAAGAAGGCAGCUGCAGGCUGGGAGACCGGACUUUCUGGAAAGCGCCAAGGCAGAGGCCUUGAGCCUUCUGGGAAAACGCGGAGGAAUUUUGCACGUUCAGCUGCAAACACCAGGGUGGUGUCUGGCAGGUGGCAGCCGCAGAGGGCGUCUGCUGGUCUUGCGGUGAAUGGGGGCAUUUUUAGGGCUCUCUGGAACCAAGGCUUGUCCAGGACUGUCUGGGGCUGGGCAGCAUUCGGGCUUCAUCCUUUGGUUGUGUCAGAGAGCCCAUGAGGGACCUAAUACGUAAAGUUUAUAACUGUCUUCGGCGCCAACUUGCUCAUGUGGAUUCUGUUGCCUGAGACUAACGACCCUUCCCUGAACCACGUGCAAAACGUUAGACCAGCGCCAGGCAUGUGGCAAAGCCUCUCCGGACAUCAGCGAACGGUCUGUAUUAUCUGAAUAUUCUACCGAGAGAAUGACACCUCUGCCCUGGUUCAGCAAGCAUGAGUUUAAGAGGCCGUCGGCUUCUCACCCGCGGAACUGAACUCUCAAAGCCCCUCUCCCGGAGGAUGGAAACUUGACCUUGCCAUUCGGAGGCAAACCGUCAAGGUCAGCUGGGCUCAAGCCCAGUCAGUGAAGGCUUCUUCCCCUUUCCCCUCGGACGUGCCCUCCUGGCAUCAGUGGCCUGGGGGCGCCCGUUUCCCCUCCUCAUCCCGUCCCAUCCCACGGGGCAUCCAGGGCUGGUGGAGUCGGCCUGGCCUGUGUGCUGAUCCCUGACAUGUCAUUCUUCUGCGUUCACUGCGCUGACACCGGCUGCCGCUCUGCUCCCUUUGUCAGGUCCCCAAAUAUCACUCCACAUCCCCUCCCCCCUGUCGCCAGGCCUCUCCAGCUUCCUCAGCCAGCUGCCUGUUUGUGUCCCUCCUUGGGGUCCUGGAACCCUCUCAGACCUCAGACCCUCGUCCCUGCCACUCUAGGGCCAGGGUCUGGGGAGGGAGGCAUCUCUGUCAUUGGGGGACUUCACCGGGCACAGUGCCCGCUGAGGCUCCGUCUGGGCAGGGGGUGCAGGUCUCCUCUGCUCUGGAGUCUCCAGCCUUCCCCCACCCUGGCCUGUCGCAGUCCCCGGCACCCUCUGAUCCUCCUCCACACACCUCCUCAGUUUGAGCUCCUGCCUCCUUUUGAGCAGGACCGUUGCCCUUUUGCCAUUGAACGUCCUUUCCCACUCCGUGCUUUAUACUACAGAAUCCAUGCUGAGUCCUCCAGACGCUUAACUUUGUGUAGCUUUAAAAGGUUUGCUCCUCACAUGAAAAGGCCUGGCUUUUUCAAAAUGUAUUCAAGAAUUUCUUCACUGAAUUUCUCUGCAACAUUCACCGGGGGCAGGCGCUCUGCGGGCACGGGAAAGCAGCCGUGGACAGACAGAUGGCUUGCAUUCCAGUGGGGAGAUGAGCAGUGAACACAAGCAUAAGUCAAUUGCUUAUUUGUUUUUGGCGGUGACAAUGCCUUGCAGAAGGCAAAAAGAGACUACAAGACAGAGUGGGGAGGUGGUGGUGCUACACUGAGUAGGAUGUCCAGGAAGGCCUGGUGGGUACUUCACUGGGACCUAAAUGCCAAGAGGAAUCCCUCCAGAAGAGAGGGGUCAAGUUGAGGUCCCCAAAUGGAAGGACAGACAACAGGUGCAAAGGCCCUGAGGCAGGAAUGAGCUUGGUCAUGGUCAAGGAUAAGAAAGAAGGCCAUAUAUCAAAUGCUGAAAACAGUGGGGGAAGAAGAUCAGAAUAGGUCCUCUGAGACCCUUUUAGGCCGCUUGGAAGCUGUGCAUUGUUCUCUUAAAGCUUGCAGUUUUUAAGUAGAGAAGUGAUUUGCAUUUUAAGAAGAUCAUUCUAAUUGCUAAUUAUAAGAGGAGGAGAGAGCAUGGGAGCAGGGAGGAGGCAUCUGUAAGAAGCUGAGUGAGUGAUGGGAGUGGGCUGGACUCAGAGGAUGAAGAUGGCGAGAUGUGGACGGAUUCUGGAUACAUUCUAAGGGAAGGAGUAAAGGAAAGGACUGAAAGAGUUGCUGUUGGGCUGCUGAGGGGGGGACAUGCAGAAAAGAGGGGACCAAAGACGACGUCCACAUAUUUGGCUUCAACCUCUGGUUAGCCCCUGGGACAACUGGACCAGUUUUACAGAAAAGGCAACACUUAGGAAUUAACCCAAAUGCACUUCUUGUACAAGAGCUCUGUGUGUGUGUGUGCAUGCGUGUGUGCAUGCGUGUGUGUGUGUGUGCACGUGUGUGUUGGCUUUAGUUAGUGGAUCUCUCUUCUCUCACUAGGAUGCUGCCGUGCCCAGCAGGCUGGGCAAGGACCAAAGGGAUGGAGAGCACUCACCACCGGCCAGAUGGGCACAGGCUGGCCCACUGCAGCCACCUGCUAAUGAAUACCUGCCUCACGGCAUGCUCACCACGUGCUGGCACAGCAUAUAGCUCCACCCACGUCAAGGGAUGCGAUCCUUAGAGCCGCCCCAUGAGAUGUGUUAUUAUGAAUCCUCAUCUAUGGAUGGGGAAACUGAGGUUCAGAAAGGUGAGGUGACUCUCCCAAGGUCACCAGCUGGUGGGUAGUAGAGCCAGGAUCUGAACUCACGCCACCUGAUUUCAAAGUCUAGGCUGAUCAAGCACCCAUUUCAGCUCCGGUAAGGAAAGGCCGAGCGGGGCAGAGAGCCGCGAAGCUUGUCUUCCUCUUAAUGCAUCUAAAUGGAAAGGCCCUGAGCAAAGUGCCGGCCCUGAGUAAGUGCUCAACAAAUUAUAAUCAUAUCAACUAUUAUUUUUAUUAACACCCAGGAACCAGGCAGGCUGGGGCCCUCCUAGCUCCCUGCUCUGCGGGAGGCAGGAGAUGCAAGUUGGGAAGAAACUGAUUUCCAUCCGAUGCCAAGCCGUCAAAAGUAACUGGCAGGAGAGGGGAGGCCAGACAGAAUAUGUAAGUCUGUCUGUUUCUCUUCACUUGUUGUCACACUAUUAUAGCUAAAGAGGGAAAACUUAGUAAGAAAAAGAGCAUACGUCUGCCUACAUUUUUCUAGAUUUACAUUCUUUUCACUUAUUGGAAAAGGAAAAAAAAAUAAGACCAAAUGUUUAAGGCAUGAAAAAAUCAAAAGGCAAGAGAUAUGGAGGGGGAGAAAUCAGACUGGCAGCUGCGUGGAAACUGAAAAAUGGAAAUGACAGGGAGCGGGCUUCAGCGAUGUGACACCACCGUGCUGGAAUUAACUCCUGCUGUCGGGAGGAGAGAAUGGAGUGACAGGAAGCUGCAGGGGGCGACCCUCCAAAUCCAGGAGGGAAAUGAACCCCAUACACAAAAGUGAGCCCCCGGGGCAGGUUGGGAGGUGGGGACAGUGGGAACUCCUUUGGGAGGGAGGGGCGGACAGGCAUUCCUGCCCCCAGGGUUGAUGUCCCUGUAGGAAUAAGGAUUCGCCUCCAGGGGGAGAUCGACUCUGUGUGCCCGGAAGAUGUGGUUACACGGCAGGACACAGACAGCGAGAGGCGCUGGGCUGCGCCCACCGGGGAGAUGGAGAACGGAUGUGCACCACCCCGAGGCGGGACAGCUCAGCCUGCCUGACACACGCUCUCCCCUCACAGGGCCUCCAGCGAGGGCUUCUGGAGUCAAAACCAAGCUAUGAAAGAGUAAAUGUACAAAAAAACAAAUAAAAGGAACGUGGUCAGUUGGGCGGAAUUUGACGCAUUUCAAGUCAGGGACUCCAGUAAUCGUUGCCGUGAGAGUUGCCUUUCUGGGAAUGACAGACUCGCGAGGAGGGAAUGGAGCUGAUACCCUAAAUCAGGGGUCGACAAACGUUUCUGAUCUAAAUAAAAUAUUUUAGGGUUUCGGGCUGCCGGGCUCUGUCGCAACUGAGCUGACGCAGUGUGAAAUUAGACAUAGACAACGUGUAAAUGAAUCAGCAUGUAAGUUUUCCAAUAAAAUUUUAUUUAUGGACGUGAAAAUUUGUGUUUCACUGUUAAGAGAACAAAAAGAUAAGCCACAGAUGGGGAGAAAAUAUUUGCAAAAUAUGUCUGAUGAAGGAACUGGUAUCUAAAAUAUUCAAAGAACUCUUAAAACUCAACAGUAAGAGAACAAACAAUCCUAUUUAAAAAUCAGCAGAAGAUCUAGACAGAUGCUCCAUUAAAGAGGAUGUGCAGAUGGCAGAGGAGCACAGGAAAAGAUGCUCAGCACCACACGUCAUCAUGGAAGUGGAAAUUAAAACAACAGUGAGAUACCACUGUCGACUGACCAUGGUGUCUAAAACCCAAAAGACUGACAUCACCAAACGCUGGUGAGGACGGGGAGCAACAGGAACUCUCAGUCGUUGCUGGUGGGGAUGCAAAAUGGUACAGCCACUUUGGAAAGAGAGUUUGGCAGUUUCUAACAAAACUAAACAUACUUUUACCAUAGGAUCCAGCAAAUGCACCCCUUGGUAUUUACCCAAAGGAGUUGAAAAUUUAUGCCCACACAAAUGUUUAUCGCAGCCUUAUUCAUAAUUGCCAAAAAGUGGAAACAACCCACAUGUCCCUCCAUAGGUGAAAGGAUAGACAAGCUGUGGUCCCUCCAGACAAUGGAACGAUAUUCAGCAAUAUGAAGAGAUAAGCUAUCAAGCCAUGAAAAUACAUGGAGGAAGCUUAGAUGCAGAUUACUCAGUGAAAGAAGGCAAUCUGAAAAUUCGACCUACCGCAUAAUUCCAUCUACAUGAUAUUCUAGAAAAGACAAAACUAUGGAGACAGGAAAAAGGUCCAUGGAUGCCAGGACUUUAGGGGGAAGAGAGAGGGAUGUGUGAGUGGAGGCUCUGAUUUUUCGGGCAGUGAAACUACUCGGUGUGAUGCUGCAAUCGUGGGUCCCUGUCAUUAGACAUUUGUCCAAACCCAUCGGUCGUGCAACACCAAGAGUGAGCGCUCGUGAGAACUGCAGACUUUAGCUAACAGUAAAGUGCCAGGACUGGCUCACCCACGGCAGCAACUGUACCCGACUAAGAAGGGAUAAUAAUGACGGGAGAAACUUGAGAGUGGUGGAAGGAAAGGGGUACACAGAAACUCUGUACUUUCUGCUCAAUUUUUCUAUAAACUUAAAACCAGUCAAAACAAAAACAAGAAAAGAAAAAUGUGGAUUUCAUAUGAUUUUCAUGUGUCAAAAAAUUAUGCUUCCUUUGAUUGUUUUCCAACCAUUUAAAAAUGUAAAAACCAGGGCCGGCCCAGUGGUUACGUUCUCAUGCUCUGCUUCGGCAGCCCAGGGUUUGCAGGUUCAGAUUCUGGGCGCAGACCUAGCACUGCUCAUCGAGCCAUGCUGUGGCUGUGUCCCAUAUACAAAAUAGAGGAAGGUGGGCACCAAUGUUAGCUCAGGACCAAUCUUCCACACCAAAAAAAAUUGUAAAAACCAUUUUUAGCUUGCGGACCAUACAAAAACAGAUGGCAGGUGGAUAGGAGGCAUUUUGCCAACCCCUGUGCCUAUAUAAUCAUGUUGAUAAAGACCAAUCUCCUCUGAGAACUUGGGGACAGAUGGAGGGGAAUGGAGGGAGCUGCUCCCUGACAGCCAUCUUUAUGGAUAUUUCUCCUUCCACCAUCACAGCCAGCAUACAGGCUGGGAGUCCUUCCCCAAGGGUGUUGCUGACUCAGAGUGACCACGAGAGGCCAGGAGUAGAAUGGGUGUGACCAGGGAUUCCAGAGCCAGGUUUCCUGCCACUCACUGGCUCUGUGGCCUCAUGCUGGUAACUUAACUUCUCUGUGCAGUAUUUCUUCAUCUGUAGAACACAGAUGACAGUGAUAUAAUCUAUUAUGCAGGUGCUAGUGAAACCAGAUGAUCUGAGCACUGUUACAGUAUUUCCAUCCUCUAGCACGGGUCCUAGCAGAUAGCCACUGCUCAAAUAUUUUUGGAAGGAAAAGAGAAAGGAAGAAAAGAGACUGUAUAAGUCAGCUAUUUCUACAUCAAUGCUGCAUAACAACCAUCCCCAAACUCAGUGGCUUACAACCCAGAUCCUUUAUUCUCAUACUAAUGGUCUAUAGGUCAGCUGCCACUUGGCUGGGCUGCACUGGACUCCUGGCUCCAGGCUCCAGUUUGUCCAGGUGGCAGGUUGGGUUCCGAUCUUCUCCCUCCAUAUGUCUUUCAUCUUCCUUGGGCCAGUGGCUGCUUGGUGUGAGUGGCCUACUCUGCGUGUGUCACCCAAGUGAAGGGCCGGUGGCUACCUGGGGCAUUCUCCUCGUGGCAAUCACAGGGGCACAGUUCAAGGGCGUGAUCAUGUCGUGUCUACUAAUUAGUGUCAUGUCUUGUCCGCUGACCGAAGAAAGUCACGUGGCCGGGCCCACAGUCGUGUUGCCCUGCAGGUGACGGAGAGCCAAGACCUGAUAUGGGACGUUGGCUGUGUCCCCUGUGGGCUCGGAGUCCCUAAGGUCCAGGGGGCCUUUCAUCUUACAUCCUGCCUAGUGGAAGUUCCCUAAGACCAGGUCCAGGAGGCCAGAGUCAGACACCGAGGUGCUAGACUUCCUGUUGCAGGAGGAAAACCAAACUCAGAUUUGUCUGAGCCGGUGUCGAGCCGGCUGUGCUGUCAUGUGCACUGAGCAAGGAGGAGGGUACGGCUCUCUGAAGCCAGGAGAUAAAGCCACGGGCAGGGCAGGAAGGGCCAGAAGACAGAGGCCAGAGGGUCACAGCAAAGCCCAGGCAGCUUUGCUCCGGGAACACAGUGUCGGCCCGAGUCCAUCCUCCCAUGCAGCAUGCUGCCCCAUAACGGCCCAUGGAUGGACUUGAAUUUAUUUUCCAUUUAAAAAUAACUUCUAUAGAAUUUUCUGAUUUCAAAAGCAACACCUCUUUUCUGGAGAAAAGUUAGAAAGUGCAGAUAACAAAGAGAAGAAAAUAAAAAUGCACCCGCUAUUCUCCCCCGCAGUGAUAGUCGCUUCUUAGACUUGCUCCACAGCCGUCCGGCCUCUCCCUGUGGGCGCAAUAUAUUCAUAUUUCCAUGGACAUCGAUGGAACCCCACACUACAUACCCACUAUAACCUUUCCUUUCCUCGUGUGGAAAAACAUAAUUAAUGUCCUUCCAUGUCAAUAAUCUACAAUCUCAUUCUUUUUUUUUAGAUUGGCACCUGAGCUAACAUCUGUUGCCAAUCUUUUUCUUUUUUCUGCUUUUUCUCCCUAAAGACCCCCAGUACCUAGUUGUAUAUUUUAGUUGUGGGUCCUUCUAGUUGUGGCAUGAGGGACGCCGCCUCAGCGUGGCCUGAUGAGCAGUGCCAUAAUCUGCGCCCAGGAUUCGAACCAGUGAAACCCUGGGCUGCCGAAGCAGAGCUCGAGAACUUAACCACUUGGCCAUGGGGCCGGCCCCUACAAUCUCAUUUUUAAUGGCUGUAUAAUAUAUCCCACUGCAUGGGCGUACAGGUAAUUUAAUUGGUCAGUCCCUUGCUAUCGGACAUUUAAGCUGCUUCCCAAUUCUCACUUUCUAAACUACAGGGAUGGACAUCAUUUGGGCUGCAUAUUUACCCACAUCCUCAUUUACUUGCCUAAGUUCCAUUUCUAAAGAUGGAGUUAACUGAUCAAACGAUACACUCAUUUUUAAGCCUUUGAUGUACAUUGCUUAACUAACCUCAGAGAAGUAGUAGUAAAUUAUACCCUGGAGAUGGAUAUUUAAGGGGACCCUGCUGAUCUUUAUGCAAAGGGUCCAGAACAAAGCCUUGCACGUAGCAGGAGCUUAAUGAAUGUGCACAGAUUGUAAUUGGAGCAUAAUAAACCCCGAGUCCUCCAUCUUCAGGUCUGCUGUACUUUCUGGGAGCUCAGAGACCGAGCAAAGACUUGCUCCUAAAAAUGAGAGAAAGGUAAGAGAUUGUGAAAAGGAAGAGGGGCAGUAUCUCGGGGAGUGUGCCAUUUAAUAAUACAUAGGUCGUUACACGGCACUUUCAUUGAAAUAUGGGUACUAACGGUCCCGUUAUGAAGGUAUCUAUUCUAUUAUAAAUCAGAGUCUAAAUUAUUUAAAACAGCCCAAUGUAACUAAGUUGGGCAAAAAUCAUUUGCAUAAAAGUACCAGGGCUCAGAGGCUGAAGACCACACAGGAAAGAACUAUUGCAAUGUCCAACCUCAGAAAAAGCACAGCAGAAUUAGCGCUCGAGAAAACACACUCCCUUCCACCUCUGACGCCCCUCGCCCACGGCAAGCACUUCACAGAAGGGUACGUGCAAAGAUAAAGGGGCACUUUAGAUGAGCUCGCCCUCUAAGCUUUGAUUUCUAUUUUUUAGGCUCAUUUUUUACAAAGCCUCAGAGUAGAGGGCUUGGUUCCUUUUGACAGAAAAAAAUAAUCAUUGAAAAACAGAAGGACGUUUGGUUCAGCCUUACGAUGGUUUCUGUGUUAAGCUUCAUAAAUGAAAGUCAUCUUAAAGUGGAUUUACCCAGCCCUGACAUCAAAGAAAGGAGGAUGAAGGAGAAAAAUGUAUUAAAACAUGCAAAAAUAAUCUUUCUCUAAAACCUGACAUUUAUUAACAUAACUCAAAGAAAUACAUUAAAAUUAAUCUGCGGAUUACAGCAAUUGGAAAUGUAUGGGAAGAAUACAAGAAUAAAGGGGGGAAAACAAACAAAAUGAAACGUUUUGACAUUCUGAAGUCUCUUUUCAUUUAACAACAAGUAUUUUUCAAAGAACACAAGGCUCUCACAGUUUAUUAACAAUUCAAUUUUUUACAAGCUACAUUCAAUUUUGAUCAUAUACAAUAAUAUGAAAAAUCCUCUUUCGGAUUACCUGCACAAAAUUGCAAAGAAAAAAACAUUAUAAGAUUAUGUGACAGCCUCAAAGCUGAAUUACAAACGUGUGCACCCGGCGGCAGAUACAAAUGAGGGAGAAAGGAAUAAGCAAGUUUUCAAUUUCCCCACAAGGACCUGAUGUUAAUUUUAAUUCACUGACACGCUGCUUUGUAAAGGAUUAUUAAAGAAAACAAAGAACCCGAUGGCUGAUGAUAUGAAGGGCGUGGAAAUUAUUGCCCUGAGAGAUUGUCACUCAGAAGCUGGGUGAGUUUCCCCAUCGCUGGGAGCCUCAGUUUCUUAUCUGUAAACUGGGAACGACCACGACGCCUGCCCGUAGGGUUAAUGUGAGGAUUUCGAUAGAUGGUGGAAUUCAGGUGCUGGGCACACCUAGGGACUCCCUGAAAAAUGGUGAUUUUCAUUGACAUGAGCAUGGC